rnacentral:rRNA from 1 species
AAAUUGAAGAGUUUGAUCAUGGCUCAGAUUGAACGCUGGCGGCAGGCCUAACACAUGCAAGUCGAGCGGUAGCACAGAAGAGCUUGCUCUUCGGGUGACGAGCGGCGGACGGGUGAGUAAUGUCUGGGAAACUGCCUGAUGGAGGGGGAUAACUACUGGAAACGGUAGCUAAUACCGCAUAAUGUCGCAAGACCAAAGAGGGGGACCUUCGGGCCUCUUGCCAUCAGAUGUGCCCAGAUGGGAUUAGCUAGUAGGUGGGGUAAUGGCUCACCUAGGCGACGAUCCCUAGCUGGUCUGAGAGGAUGACCAGCCACACUGGAACUGAGACACGGUCCAGACUCCUACGGGAGGCAGCAGUGGGGAAUAUUGCACAAUGGGCGCAAGCCUGAUGCAGCCAUGCCGCGUGUAUGAAGAAGGCCUUCGGGUUGUAAAGUACUUUCAGCGAGGAGGAAGGCGGUGAGGUUAAUAACCUCAUCGAUUGACGUUACUCGCAGAAGAAGCACCGGCUAACUCCGUGCCAGCAGCCGCGGUAAUACGGAGGGUGCAAGCGUUAAUCGGAAUUACUGGGCGUAAAGCGCACGCAGGCGGUCUGUCAAGUCGGAUGUGAAAUCCCCGGGCUCAACCUGGGAACUGCAUUCGAAACUGGCAGGCUAGAGUCUUGUAGAGGGGGGUAGAAUUCCAGGUGUAGCGGUGAAAUGCGUAGAGAUCUGGAGGAAUACCGGUGGCGAAGGCGGCCCCCUGGACAAAGACUGACGCUCAGGUGCGAAAGCGUGGGGAGCAAACAGGAUUAGAUACCCUGGUAGUCUACGCCGUAAACGAUGUCGACUUGGAGGUUGUUCCCUUGAGGAGUGGCUUCCGGAGCUAACGCGUUAAGUCGACCGCCUGGGGAGUACGGCCGCAAGGUUAAAACUCAAAUGAAUUGACGGGGGCCCGCACAAGCGGUGGAGCAUGUGGUUUAAUUCGAUGCAACGCGAAGAACCUUACCUACUCUUGACAUCCAGAGAACUUAGCAGAGAUGCUUUGGUGCCUUCGGGAACUCUGAGACAGGUGCUGCAUGGCUGUCGUCAGCUCGUGUUGUGAAAUGUUGGGUUAAGUCCCGCAACGAGCGCAACCCUUAUCCUUUGUUGCCAGCGGUCCGGCCGGGAACUCAAAGGAGACUGCCAGUGAUAAACUGGAGGAAGGUGGGGAUGACGUCAAGUCAUCAUGGCCCUUACGAGUAGGGCUACACACGUGCUACAAUGGCGCAUACAAAGAGAAGCGACCUCGCGAGAGCAAGCGGACCUCAUAAAGUGCGUCGUAGUCCGGAUUGGAGUCUGCAACUCGACUCCAUGAAGUCGGAAUCGCUAGUAAUCGUAGAUCAGAAUGCUACGGUGAAUACGUUCCCGGGCCUUGUACACACCGCCCGUCACACCAUGGGAGUGGGUUGCAAAAGAAGUAGGUAGCUUAACCUUCGGGAGGGCGCUUACCACUUUGUGAUUCAUGACUGGGGUGAAGUCGUAACAAGGUAACCGUAGGGGAACCUGCGGUUGGAUCACCUCCUUACCUUAAAGAA